CCUGCCCAGCUUUUGUAGGCUGCCUUUUGCUGGUCCUGCUUUGGUGGCCAAGGGAAUGCCUUGGGGGUUGAAUAGGUUUUUGUUUUCUUAGUAAUAUAAUUUUGUCAAACACCUAGUGGUCUUCCAGUUUAUUUGCUUCAGGUCAGUUCCAUGUGUCAAUAAUCACAGAUAAAAAUCUUGUGGAGUCAGAGUUUUUAAGACUGAUGAUAGGGACUUUUACUUAUUACCUCUGGGCUCUGCCUAGGCCCCUCCUCUCAUGUUUCAGAGGGGCUCCCUUAAAGUCACUGAAACAAAGAGCUGGGGUGGGGACACAGCUCUCUUCAUCUAAUUUUUGCACUGAGCUGGCUGCCAUUGUCUGGCAGAGAACUCUUAAAUACAGGUGCUGGGAAAAGCUCAGAGGCACCGUUUCGUCUUCUGAUAUGCCCUGCCCACAGAGGUGGAAUCGAGAGAGACAGUUGGCCUUGCUGAGCUGCCGUGGGCACCACCCAGUUUGAGCUUCCCAGCAGCUUUGUUUACACUGUGAGUAUAAAACUGCCUACUCAAGCCUCAGCAAUGGUGGACACCCCUCCCCCCACCAAGCUCCAGCAUUCCAGGUGGAUCUCAGAUUGCUGUACUAGCAGCGAGAAUUACAAGCUAAUGGAUCUUAGCUUGCUGGGCUCCGUGGGCAUGGGACCUGCCAAGCCAGGCACUGGAGGGAAUCUCCUGGUCUGCCAGUUGUGAAGACUGUGGGAAAAGUGCAGUAUUUGGGUAGGUGUGUACCCUUCCUCCCAGUAUAGUCUCUCAUGGCUUCC
rnacentral:lncRNA from 1 species